rnacentral:rRNA from 1 species
CCUACGGGUGGCAGCAGUGAGGAAUAUUGGUCAAUGGGAGAGAUCCUGAACCAGCCAAGCCGCGUGAGGGAAGACGGCCCUAUGGGUUGUAAACCUCUUUUGUCGGGGCACAAAACCACGGACGUGUCCCGGACUGCGUGUAUCCGAAGAAAAAGCAUCGGCUAACUCCGUGCCAGCAGCCGCGGUAAUACGGAGGAUGCGAGCGUUAUCCGGAGUUAGUGGGUGUAAAGGGUGCGUAGGCGGUCGUUUACGUCAGCGGUAAAAUUGCGGGGCUCAACCCCGUCGAGCCGUUGAAACUGGCAGACUUGAGUGGGGGAGAGGCACGCGGAAUGCGCGGUGUAGCGGUGAAAUGCGUAGAUA